AUUUGGGAUGCCGGGAGUGAUUAUGUGACUUUCGGGAUCACCGCCGGAGCUCCGGGCUGAGCUUCUACCACUUGAGACCCUGCUGCCACCGUGUUCCACCGCCGUUACCGUCACCGGUGUUUUUGCUCGCGAUUGUCACUUGGGGUUACUGACGGAGCCACUGCCGGGUUGAUAGGGAGCUGCGGCUGCUUCGUUUUGUUAUUUCAGAGUUAGAAUCCGAUUUGCUUAUGCCGCUUGUAGCUGUUUCUGCUUUCGAGAGAGCAAGCCGAGCCGGGUUCUGAUUGCCGGUGAUUUCGGGCAGAGCGAAAAGAGUUCAGUUGACACGUUUGGGUUAAGUUUUGCUUGCCGAGGUAGGGGCGCUUUCCAAAAACUAUGUUUUUAUAUAUUGGAAUUAUUACAUAUGGAUACUGUUGUGAGAUAUUGUGUAUUUGGUGAUUGUAUCUGCCUUAUGUGUUAUUUGAUUGACUCGAGUGAUUAUGGAUGUUGGUUUGGUUGAAUUGUUGUGCGGCUUUGUGAAAUGUAAUGUUUUGAAGUGAUUCUUUAAA